rnacentral:rRNA from 1 species
CGCUGGCGGCGUGCCUAAUACAUGCAAGUCGAGCGAACGGACGAGAAGCUUGCUUCUCUGAUGUUAGCGGCGGACGGGUGAGUAACACGUGGAUAACCUACCUAUAAGACUGGGAUAACUUCGGGAAACCGUAGCUAAUACCGGAUAAUAUUUUGAACCGCGUGGUUCAAAAGUGAAAGACGGUCUUGCUGUCACUUAUAGAUGGAUCCGCGCUGCAUUAGCUAGUUGGUAAGGUAACGGCUUACCAAGGCAACGAUGCAUAGCCGACCUGAGAGGGUGAUCGGCCACACUGGAACUGAGACACGGUCCAGACUCCUACGGGAGGCAGCAGUAGGGAAUCUUCCGCAAUGGGCGAAAGCCUGACGGAGCAACGCCGCGUGAGUGAUGAAGGUCUUCGGAUCGUAAAACUCUGUUAUUAGGGAAGAACAUAUGUGUAAGUAACUGUGCACAUCUUGACGGUACCUAAUCAGAAAGCCACGGCUAACUACGUGCCAGCAGCCGCGGUAAUACGUAGGUGGCAAGCGUUAUCCGGAAUUAUUGGGCGUAAAGCGCGCGUAGGCGGUUUUUUAAGUCUGAUGUGAAAGCCCACGGCUCAACCGUGGAGGGUCAUUGGAAACUGGAAAACUUGAGUGCAGAAGAGGAAAGUGGAAUUCCAUGUGUAGCGGUGAAAUGCGCAGAGAUAUGGAGGAACACCAGUGGCGAAGGCGACUUUCUGGUCUGUAACUGACGCUGAUGUGCGAAAGCGUGGGGAUCAAACAGGAUUAGAUACCCUGGUAGUCCACGCCGUAACGAUGAGUGCUAAGUGUUAGGGGUUUCCGCCCCUUAGUGCUG